UCUCAUCAUUCUUUCCACUUUCAGAAGCAGUUCUGGAAGACUUCUUUCAUGAGGGUCUUUACAAGAUGUUAUCAAAACUACAGUGAAUGCUGCUGAGUUCCAUCCAACAGAAAGGCAGGCUCAUAAAAGAAUUGUGGUGUGUCCUCAUCCACCUUGCCAGACCCGGCACCAGCUGCAGUGAGGUUUCUCCGGAGCUCUUGCUGGAGGUAUGGGAACUACCAAAGAACACUUCCUGCAGGAAGCAAUGUCAAAGCCACCUUCUACAGCUCUACAUAUUAACUAACAGUAAGGAGUUUGCAAAGAGCCGUAGAGAAGGAAGAAAAUCAGUGUGGAGAAAGUUCAAGACAACAUGUUUGGAGCCUUCAUGCCAAGAAUAUUUGAAGAGAAAAGGUUAG
rnacentral:lncRNA from 1 species